CCUACGGGCUGCAGCAGUGGGGAAUAUUGGACAAUGGGCGCAAGCCUGAUCCAGCAAUGCCGCGUGUGUGAAGAAGGCCUUCGGGUUGUAAAGCACUUUUAUCAGGAGCGAAAUACUACCGGCUAAUAUCCGGUGGGGCUGACGGUACCUGAGGAAUAAGCACCGGCUAACUUCGUGCCAGCAGCCGCGGUAAUACGAAGGGUGCAAGCGUUAAUCGGAAUUACUGGGCGUAAAGCGUGCGUAGGCGGUUUGUUAAGUCUGCUGUGAAAUCCCCGGGCUCAACCUGGGAAUGGCAGUGGAUACUGGCAAGCUAGAGUGUGUCAGAGGAUGGUGGAAUUCCCGGUGUAGCGGUGAAAUGCGUAGAGAUCGGGAGGAACAUCAGUGGCGAAGGCGGCCAUCUGGGACAACACUGACGCUGAGGCACGAAAGCGUGGGGAGCA
rnacentral:rRNA from 1 species